rnacentral:rRNA from 1 species
GACAUCCAGCGAACUUGGCAGAGAUGCCUUGGUGCCUUCGGGAACGCUGAGACAGGUGCUGCAUGGCUGUCGUCAGCUCGUGUUGUGAAAUGUUGGGUUAACGUCCGCAACGAGCGCAACCCUUAUCCUUUGUGCCAGCGAUUCGGUCGGGAACUCAAAGGAGACUGCCGGUGAUAAACCGGAGGAAGGUGGGGAUGACGUCAAGUCAUCAUGGCCCUUACGAGUAGGGCUACACACGUGCUACAAUGGCGCAUACAAAGAGAAGCGACCUCGCGAGAGCAAGCGGACCUCAUAAAGUGCGUCGUAGUCCGGAUCGGAGUCUGCAACUCGACUCCGUGAAGUCGGAAUCGCUAGUAAUCGUGGAUCAGAAUGCCACGGUAAAUACGUUCCCGGGCCUUGUACACACCGCCCGUCACACCAUGGGAGUGGGUUGCAAAAGAAGUAGGUAGCUUAACCCUCGGGAGGGCGCUUACCACUUUGUGAUUCAUGACUGGGGUGAAGUCGUAACAAGGUAAGCGUAGCGAG